UACGAAGGGGGCUAGCGUUGCUCGGAAUGACUGGGCGUAAAGGGCGCGUAGGCGGCUUGGCAAGUGGAAGGUGAAAUCCCUCGGCUUAACCGAGGAACUGCCCUCCAAACUGCUUCGCUUGAGACCGGGAGAGGUGAGUGGAAUUCCCAGUGUAGCGGUGAAAUGCGUAGAUAUUGGGAGGAACACCAGUGGCGAAGGCGGCUCACUGGACCGGUACUGACGCUGAUGCGCGAAAGCGUGGGGAGCAAACGGG
rnacentral:rRNA from 1 species